UACGUAGGGUGCAAGCGUUGUCCGGAUUUAUUGGGCGUAAAGAGCGUGUAGGCGGCCAAACAGGUCAGCUGUGAAAACUCGAGGCUCAACCUCGAGACGUCGGUUGAAACCGUUUGGCUAGAGUCCGGAAGAGGAGAGUGGAAUUCCCGGUGUAGCGGUGAAAUGCGCAGAUAUCGGGAAGAACACCCGUGGCGAAGGCGGCUCUCUGGGACGGUACUGACGCUGAGACGCGAAAGCGUGGGGAGCGAACAGG
rnacentral:rRNA from 1 species